UACGUAGGGUGCAAGCGUUGUCCGGAAUUAUUGGGCGUAAAGAGCUCGUAGGCGGUUUGUCGCGUCGGCUGUGAAAACCUGGGGCUCAACCCCGGGCCUGCAGCCGAUACGGGCAAACUAGAAUUCGGUAGGGGAGACUGGAAUUCCUGGUGUAGCGGUGAAAUGCGCAGAUAUCAGGAGGAACACCGGUGGCGAAGGCGGGUCUCUGGGCCGAUAUUGACGCUGAGGAGCGAAAGCGUGGGGAGCAAACAGG
rnacentral:rRNA from 1 species